rnacentral:rRNA from 1 species
GAUGAACGCUGGCGGCGUGCUUAACACAUGCAAGUCGAACGGAAAGGCCCAAGCUUGCUUGGGUACUCGAGUGGCGAACGGGUGAGUAACACGUGGGUGAUCUGCCCUGCACUUCGGGAUAAGCCUGGGAAACUGGGUCUAACACUGGAUAGGACCACUUCUUGGAUGUUGUGGUGGAAAGUUUUUUCGGUGUGGGAUGAGCUCGCGGCCUAUCAGCUUGUUGGUGGGGUAAUGGCCUACCAAGGCGUCGACGGGUAGCCGGCCUGAGAGGGUGUACGGCCACAUUGGGACUGAGAUACGGCCCAGACUCCUACGGGAGGCAGCAGUGGGGAAUAUUGCACAAUGGGCGCAAGCCUGAUGCAGCGACGCCGCGUGGGGGAUGACGGCCUUCGGGUUGUAAACUCCUUUCGCUAGGGACGAAGCGUUUUGUGACGGUACCUGGAGAAGAAGCACCGGCUAACUACGUG